rnacentral:rRNA from 1 species
GCGCGAAAAGGGCAACCUGAGUAGAGCGGCGCACGGGUGCGUAACACGUGGAUAAUCUGCCUUUGAGUCUGGGAUAACCUUUGGAAACUUAGGCUAAUACCAAAUAAGCUCACGAGCCCUUCGGGACUUGAGAGAAAAGUAGGCCACUAUUUAUAAGCUUACACUCGAAGAUGAGUCCGCGGCCCAUCAGCUAGUUGGCGGGGUAAUGGCCCACCAAGGCAACGACGGGUAGCUGGUCUGAGAGGACGAUCAGCCACACUGGAACUGAGACACGGUCCAGACUCCUACGGGAGGCAGCAGUGGGGAAUUUUCCACAAUGGGCGAAAGCCUGAUGGAGCAACGCCGCGUGUGUGAUGAAGGUCUUCGGAUCGUAAAGCACUUUCGACCGGGACGAAAACCUAGU